UAAAAGGUUUUUUUCAGAGCCAUAAAAUUUUAAAAAAGAGAAAUCU
rfam:Stegodyphus mimosarum contig1122, whole genome shotgun sequence.